AUUUAGGUCAGCUAAAUAAGCUAAUGAGUUCAUACCUCAUAAAUGAAUUUAUAGUAAUACCUUCGGUA
rnacentral:tRNA from 1 species